UUGGAGUUUCUGAUUUUGUAUUUGCUUGGGUAUUAUGCAGGUUUUCGUUAUGGUGUUGUGUCCGUUGAUUUCGGGCUUCUAUUAUGGUGGCUAUGGUUUGAUUUUGUGUGUGUGGGUGUGUUGAGAAUGAUGGUACUAUUUUGCUAUUCUUUCCUUCUGUUAUUCUUCUGGUGGGUAUUCAAAUUUGUUGUUGAUGAUUGGCUAUUGUCAAAGCAGUGGGGAGCAAGAGGGCAAGUGAAAUGGUAAGGUUUGGAUACGGCGGUGAUAGAUGGGGUGAGGGUGGGGGAAAGGAUUGGGUUAUUUAUUUGGUAUCUUUUUUUUUGUUGUUGUCUUUUUUCCUUUUUUAAACUGCAGGGAGCUGCGAGUGGGGUAUAUCAAGCGGGAUGAACAUGGAAAUGGUGGACUAGUGUAUGAAGGCCAUUUGACAACGUAGAAGAAUCAAGAUGAAAUGUGCUUAUGCAUUAAAUGAUGACGGGAAAGGCACAUAUUCACACUAUAAUAUCAUACUCAAACAGGACGAAAUCAACCGUAAAACCACAUACAAUGCAGCCAUGAAGAUUCAAGUGAACAAGGUGUGAGCAAGGAGUGAGUAAGGGCACUUACCUCUUGGAGCUAUGAAUACCUUUAUCAGCCUAGUAUCUUCUCCUUCCUCGUGCUGACACCCUUUGUUUCCUCUUUGCAAGUAUAUCCUCCGUGAUCGUAACACUCUGUUCUUUUUUUUUU
rnacentral:lncRNA from 1 species